rnacentral:tRNA from 1 species
GGAACUGUGCGGAAACAGUCUACAACGCAUUCGUAAUGCGUAGGUCGGGGGUUCGAAUCCCUUCAUCAGCAUCUCCA